rnacentral:pre_miRNA from 1 species
GGUUUCCUUCUUGAUUGUUUAAACCAGGCAUGGUCCAACUUCGGCUCUCCAGGUGUUUUGGGCUUCAACUCCCACAAUUCCUAAAUCUUAGGAAUUGUGGGAGUUGAAGUCCAAAACACCUGGAGGGCUGAAGUUGGACCAUGCCUGGUUUAAACCUACUGGGUGACC